rnacentral:rRNA from 1 species
CUUAGUGGCGGACGGGUGAGUAACGCGUGGGUAACCUGCCUUACACAGGGGGAUAACGCUUAGAAAUAGGUGCUAAUACCGCAUAAACGCACAGUCCCGCAUGGGACAGAGUGAAAAACAUUAGUGGUGUAAGAUGGACCCGCGUCUGAUUAGCUUGUUGGCGGGGUAACGGCCCACCAAGGCGACGAUCAGUAGCCGGCCUGAGAGGGUGGACGGCCACAUUGGGACUGAGACACGGCCCAAACUCCUACGGGAGGCAGCAG